UACGUAGGCAGCGAGCGUUGUUCGGAGUUACUGGGCGUAAAGCGUGCGCAGGCGGUUGUGCAAGACCGAUGUGAAAUCCCCGGGCUUAACCUGGGAAUGGCAUUGGUGACUGCACGGCUAGAGUGUGUCAGAGGGGGUAGAAUUCCACGUGUAGCAGUGAAAUGCGUAGAUAUGCGGAGGAACACCAAUGGCGAAGGCAGCCCCCUGGGAUAAUAUUGACGCUCAUGCACGAAAGCGUGGGGAGCAAACAGG
rnacentral:rRNA from 1 species